rnacentral:rRNA from 1 species
AUUGAACGCUGGCGGCAGGCUUAACACAUGCAAGUCGAGCGGGGAAGGUUGCUUCGGUAACUGACCUAGCGGCGGACGGGCGAGUAAUGCUUAGGAAUCUGCCUAGUAGUGGGGGACAAGAUUCCGAAAGGAAUGCUAAUACCGCAUACGCCCUUCGGGGGAAAGAAGGGGAUCUUCGGACCUUACGCUAAGAGAAGAGGCUUAGUCGGAUUAGCUAGUAGGUGGGGUAAAGGCCUACCAAGGAGACGAUCUGUAGCGGGUCUGAGAGGUUGAGCCGCCACACUGGGACUGAGACACGGCCCAGACUCCUACGGGAGGCAGCAGUGGGGAAUAUUGGACAAUGGGCGGAAGCCUGAUCCAGCCAUGCCGCGUGUGUGAAGAAGGCCUUUUGGUUGUAAAGCACUUUAAGCGAGGAGGAGGCUCCUUUAGUUAAUACCUAAAGUGAGUGGACGUUACUCGCAGAAUAAGCACCGGCUAACUCUGUGCCAGCCGCCGCAGUAAAAC